UAUUCAUAACGGCCCUCUGCUUAUCAGUAAAUUAAUUUAGGGAUUUCCUUGUGUUUGGCCUGCUGAUGUCACUUGUUAUGCUGAUGAUAGAUUUGUUUUGUACUCUCGUCAUGAAGCUCGUGCUGGUUUGAUCUCAGAACCACUGAAGUUCCUUAAGAUCGUUUCUUCCACCAUCUUGUUACCCGCAGUGGAAACGGAGGCGACGGUUAGCUGUGUGAAUGUAACUGGGUCUAUAUUGUUAGUUGUACAUUUUCACAAAAUGUUUUCUUUAAUUUAUUUGUCCUCUUAUACUUGUCUGUCUUUGUGUUCCUCUGUGUCUGCUAUAAGGGAUUUGGUCCUCCAGCUCCGCCAUACUUUCUUCUUCUUUUGUUCAGGGUCCUCCAGCACCAUUAUAAAUAUUAAGUUGUUAAUUUCCUCUUCCGUUUUGUUACUCGUUCCACUGGGAAGAGGCACGUUUUAUAAUCCAUUGUAAUCCUUUCACUUAUAUUGUUCGAAUGUUUAUUUUUUUCUUCUGUAUCAAUGUUAGGUGUUUGGAUAUUUUCAUUUGAGUUGCUAUUACACAUAACAUUUGAUGCAUGUUAACAUUAUUAUUCUGUAUAGAUCGGGUUGGAGAACUGGAGCACAUGCUAUGUGCUAAUGCUAAUAUCUCCCGAUUGACAGAUUGAAUAAACGGAGACCGCCUCCAAACCCAGACUCGGUGUUUUGUGGUUUGUCCGAUUAACACGUAACACACAACACAGAAGUCCACCGGACACACCAGGAGCAUUAUUACAAUGCAGAAGAUGGAAGUGGGUAUCUGGCUUGGAGACUGAAGUUUGUCCAGAGGGAAGCUUUAAUGGACAAAAGAAGGUCCCCAGACUGUCACAGACCCAAACAGGGGGACCAACAACUGAUGGAGACUGUUUGAGUGAAGAAGACUGCCUUAUGACAGAUAGCUUGUGUUCUGAGGCCAUUGCGCUGAAGGAACUGUCAUGAGGAAGAUGAAACAGACUUUCAGCUAUCGCCAGAAGAUGAUUCGUGACCCAGUGACGUCACCUAGUAUCUUUUUGGACUUCCCAAGAUUCCUGGACAUAGGAGGAUUGGUUGAGCAAGAUUUUACAUUGAUGUUUGGGGAAGCCAUCUCUGCAAAGUUCCUGGAGAAGUGGCCCACUGUCUAAAAGCAGAAAGGCCUCAAACAAAGCCGUGGUCUCACACAGUCUGAUGACCUUGAGAACCUUCUUGACAAUGCUGAAGGCACAACAGAAGUGGAAAAUGGUAAGUUGCAAUGACUUACAAAGAAAGUGUUUAAUGAAACAGGAGCACCUUGAUGGCAUCGCAGAAAGCCGUCAACCAUACCUGCUUGCAGUAGGGACUCAGAGGAGUGUGAUUCACAAGUACUUCAUUGUGAUUGACAAACACAGCUUUCAGUUGGCAUACAUUUGACCCUCAGAGACUGACCAUUGGACCAGGUAAAAUGGUGCCUUUAAAUUCACUGGACUGGGGCUGUGAGAUAGCAGAGACUCUUCAGUUACCAAUCAACACCAAGGUAUUAAAUGUUAAAUGGGCCAAACAUCAUGGAGAUAUGUAUCGUGCAGAUUUAGUUGUUUGUAAAGAAGUUUUUUGUGAAAUGCCAGUUUUCCAUACGAUCUACAAUGUUCUUGUGAAAGAUGACAGGUUAUUGUUUGUUACAUUGCCCUGCAAACAGUGUGUCUGAAUGAGCAUUUCAGUGCUUUACAAGUUUUGUGUAGAAGAGACGGACCUCCUGUUAUUUAUGUAGAAGAGCUUUACUGUUACAGAGCUUUUGAUUUACAGGUGUCAUACAGUCAUGAAGAUGCAAAUGUUUAUAUUGUUCCAUACUGUUUCUUGUGAGCAAUAAAAAUGGCAGUUCAA